rnacentral:tRNA from 1 species
GGCCUUGUGGCCCAAUGGAUAAGGCGCCUGACUACGAAUCAGGAGAUUCCAGGUCCGAGUCCUGGCAGGGUCG